AGUCAGUAUGGUGUCAAAAAAGGCAUAAACUAAACACUUUGCAGCCCUUUCCUGCCCUUGAAUAUGAUGUCUUUGGUGUAGGAGCUGCAUAAGUAACAGUG